rnacentral:rRNA from 1 species
GGUGGCGAGUGGCGAACGGGUGAGUAAUGCAUCGGAACGUGCCCAUGUCGUGGGGGAUAACGUAGCGAAAGCUACGCUAAUACCGCAUACGCCCUGAGGGGGAAAGCGGGGGAUUCUUCGGAACCUCGCGCGAUUGGAGCGGCCGAUGUCGGAUUAGCUAGUAGGUGAGGUAAAGGCUCACCUAGGCGACGAUCCGUAGCGGGUCUGAGAGGAUGAUCCGCCACACUGGGACUGAGACACGGCCCAGACUCCUACGGGAGGCAGCAGUGGGGAAUUUUGGACAAUGGGGGCAACCCUGAUCCAGCCAUGCCGCGUGAGUGAAGAAGGCCUUCGGGUUGUAAAGCUCUUUCGGCCGGGAAGAAAUCGGCGACUCUAACAUAGUCGCUGGAUGACGGUACCGGACUAAGAAGCACCGGCUAACUACGUGCCAGCAG